rnacentral:misc_RNA from 1 species
UAAUAAGUGUUUUAUGGCACUUUUUAAAUCCAUAUCCACCUUGUGUGCAAUGUCGGUCGAUCUUCUUCAUGGAGAUCGACCAAACAUCAACCUUUAUCUUUUAACUCUUGUCUGAAAAAUAUUAUGAAUAAACAAUUCAAAAA